AACGAACGCUGGCGGCAUGCCUAACACAUGCAAGUCGAACGAAACCUUCGGGUUUUGUUGCGCACGGGUGCGUAACGCGGGGGAACCUGCCCUUAGGUUCCGUAUAACUCCCCGACAGGGGUGCUAAUACCGGAUGGUGUCUUCGGACCAAAGAUUUAUGGCCUUUGGAUGGGCCCGCGUUGGAUUAGCUGGUUGGUAGGGUAAUAGCCUACCAAGGCGAGGAUCCAUAGCUGGUCUGAGAGGAUGAUCAGCCACACUGGGACUGAGACACGGCCCAGACUCCGACGGGAGGCAGCAGUGGGGAAUAUUGGAGGAGGGGCGAAGGCCUGAUCCAGCAGUGCCGCGUGAGUGAUGAUGGCCUUAGGGUUGUAAAGCUCUUUUACCCGGGAUGAUAAUGACGGUACCGGGAGAAUAAGCUCCGGCUAACUACGUG
rnacentral:rRNA from 1 species